UCUAAUCUCUGUUCCCAAUUA
rnacentral:miRNA from 1 species